GAUGAACGCUGGCGGCGUGCCUAAUACAUGCAAGUCGAGCGAACGGACGAGAAGCUUGCUUCUCUGAUGUUAGCGGCGGACGGGUGAGUAACACGUGGAUAACCUACCUAUAAGACUGGGAUAACUUCGGGAAACCGGAGCUAAUACCGGAUAAUAUUUUGAACCGCAUGGUUCAAAAGUGAAAGACGGUCUUGCUGUCACUUAUAGAUGGAUCCGCGCUGCAUUAGCUAGUUGGUAAGGUAACGGCUUACCAAGGCAACGAUGCAUAGCCGACCUGAGAGGGUGAUCGGCCACACUGGAACUGAGACACGGUCCAGACUCCUACGGGAGGCAGCAGUAGGGAAUCUUCCGCAAAGGGCGAAAGCCUGACGGAGCAACGCCGCGUGAGUGAUGAAGGUCUUCGGAUCGUAAAACUCUGUUAUUAGGGAAGAACAUAUGUGUGAGUAACUGUGCACAUCUUGACGGUACCUAAUCAGAAAGCCACGGCUAACUACGUG
rnacentral:rRNA from 1 species